rnacentral:rRNA from 1 species
UUGAACGCUGGCGGUAUGCUUAACACAUGCAAGUCGAACGGAAACGAUACUAGCUUGCUAGUAGGCGUCGAGUGGCGGACGGGUGAGUAACGCGUAGGAAUCUGCCUGAUAGUGGGGGAUAGCCCGAAGAAAUUCGGAUUAAUACCGCAUAAUCUAUUCGUAGUAAAGUGGGGGACUUUCGAGCCUCACGCUAUCAGAUGAGCCUGCGUAAGAUUAGCUUGUUGGUAGGGUAAAAGCCUACCAAGGCGACGAUCUUUAGCUGGUCUGAGAGGAUGAUCAGCCACAUCGGGACUGAGACACGGCCCGAACUCCUACGGGAGGCAGCAGUGGGGAAUAUUGGACAAUGGGGGCAACCCUGAUCCAGCAAUACCGCGUGUGUGAAGAAGGCCUGAGGGUUGUAAAGCACUUUCAAUUGUGAAGAAAAGUUAGCGGUUAAUAACCGUUAGCCUUGACGUUAACUUUAGAAGAAGCACCGGCUAACUCCGUGCCAGCAGCCGCGGUAAUACGGAGGGUGCAAGCGUUAAUCGGAAUUACUGGGCGUAAAGCGUGCGUAGGUGGUUUAUUAAGUCAGAUGUGAAAGCCCCGGGCUUAACCUGGGAACUGCAUUUGAAACUGGUCAACUAGAGUAUGGUAGAGGAAAGUGGAAUUUCUGGUGUAGCGGUGAAAUGCGUAGAUAUCAGAAGGGAACAUCAAUGGCGAAGGCAGCUUUCUGGACCAAUACUGACACUGAGGUACGAAAGCGUGGGUAGCAAACAGGAUUAGAUACCCUGGUAGUCCACGCCGUAAACGAUGAUAACUAGCCGUUGGGGGGAUUUACCCUUUAGUGGCGAAGCUAACGCGUUAAGUUAUCCGCCUGGGGAGUACGGCCGCAAGGUUAAAACUCAAAGGAAUUGACGGGGACCCGCACAAGCGGUGGAGCAUGUGGUUUAAUUCGAUGCAACGCGAAGAGCCUUACCUGGUCUUGACAUCCUGCGAACUUUCUAGAAAUAGAUUGGUGCCUUCGGGAACGCAGUGACAGGUGCUGCAUGGCUGUCGUCAGCUCGUGUCGUGAGAUGUUGGGUUAAGUCCCGUAACGAGCGCAACCCCUAUCCUUAUUUGCCAGCACAUCAUGGUGGGAACUAUAAGGAGACUGCCGGUGAUAAACCGGAGGAAGGCGGGGACGACGUCAAGUCAUCAUGGCCCUUACGACCAGGGCUACACACGUGCUACAAUGGGAAGGACAAAGAGCCGCGAAGCCGCGAGGUGUAGCUAAUCUCAUAAACCUUUUCGUAGUCCGGAUUGGAGUCUGCAACUCGACUCCAUGAAGUCGGAAUCGCUAGUAAUCGUAGAUCAGAAUGCUACGGUGAAUACGUUCCCGGGUCUUGUACACACC